CCCAAGCGAGGGAAGGAGCGGCAUCCUGCAGCAGUGGCUCUAUGCAUCCCACGAGGCGGUACUGUAGCCCCGUGCCACACCAGGCCGAGCAAGAAUUCCAGGACCCCGCCACCCACCUGCGCAGACGAGAGGAUCUUUGGGGAAAGUGUUGCAGAUCUGGUUGAAGGGAGCGUGGUAGUUUGGCAGACCCAGACACUUCUCCUCCGGGACUUGCUUCUCCGGGGUUUCCACUUCCACGCAAACCUGCAGUGCUAGGAAAGUUAGCGACAGGUGAUCAUAGCAGCAAAAAGAUUAACCCGACUUACCUGGGAGAUGGUACGAAUGCCACCGCCACAUGACCUGCUGCAGGGAGAGGCGACGCUGCGGUGAGCGUGGGAGGGCGCGGUGAGGGCGAGGACAGGUGGAUGUGCAGAGCCGUCUCGAAGCAGCACCAAUGAACUGGAAUGCAACACACCAGGGAAAGAUCAGAUACUGUUGAUAAAGUAAUAAUUAUAUCUUGAAAAUGAACGAAUGAAUGAAUUAUUGAGUUUUGAAAAUUGAUAUGUAUAAACUUGAUAUUCCCAGACAGUUGAGUGAAUGAUCUUUUUACUUAUAUUCCUGUGUGUGUAUGUUUAAUCUGCUUUGAUUUACAAGCAAGAGAAGAUUUAGGGGAUCUUCCUUCGUCAAUGGACUUGAAUUAGAUGCUGAUGCCAAUGAUAAAAAAAUAAUAAUAAUAAAAAAUAAUAAAUAAGAUGUCCACAGAAAAUCAUAUGGAUGAUUGUGUUUUAUUUACCUUUCAUUCAACCAAAGACUUCACCGCCAGAGAGAGGAGCGACUAAGUU